rnacentral:rRNA from 1 species
GGGUGACGCAGGAAGGUAGCCGUACCAGUCAGUGGUAACACUGGGGCAAGCCGGUAGGGAGAGCGAUAGGCAAAUCCGUCGCUCACUAAUCCUGAGAGGUGACGACGCAUAGCCGGUUGAGGCGAAUUCGGUGAUCCUCUGCUGCCAAGAAAAGCCUCUAGCGAGCACACACACGGCCCGUACCCCAAACCGACACAGGUGGUCAGGUAGAGCAUACCAAGGCGUACGAGAUAACUAUGGUUAAGGAACUCGGCAAAAUGCCCCCGUAACUUCGGGAGAAGGGGGACCGGAAUAUCGUGAACACCCUUGCGGUGGGAGCGGGAUCCGGUCGCAGAAACCAGUGAGGAGCGACUGUUUACUAAAAACACAGGUCCGUGCGAAGUCGCAAGACGAUGUAUACGGACUGACGCCUGCCCGGUGCUGGAAGGUUAAGAGGACCCGUUAACCCGCAAGGGUGAAGCGGAGAAUUUAAGCCCCAGUAAACGGCGGUGGUAACUAUAACCAUCCUAAGGUAGCGAAAUUCCUUGUCGGGUAAGUUCCGACCUGCACGAAUGGCGUAACGACUUCUCAACUGUCUCAACCAUAGACUCGGCGAAAUUGCACUACGAGUAAAGAUGCUCGUUACGCGCGGCAGGACGAAAAGACCCCGGGACCUUCACUACAACUUGGUAUUGAUGUUCGGUACGGUUUGUGUAGGAUAGGUGGGAGACUGUGAAACCUCGACGCCAGUUGGGGCGGAGUCGUUGUUGAAAUACCACUCUGAUCGUAUUGGGCAUCUAACCUCGAACCCUGAAUCGGGUUUAGGGACAGUGCCUGGCGGGUAGUUUAACUGGGGCGGUUGCCUCCUAAAAUGUAACGGAGGCGCCCAAAGGUUCCCUCAACCUGGACGGCAAUCAGGUGGCGAGUGUAAAUGCACAAGGGAGCUUGACUGCGAGACUUACAAGUCAAGCAGGGACGAAAGUCGGGAUUAGUGAUCCGGCACCCCCGAGUGGAAGGGGUGUCGCUCAACGGAUAAAAGGUACCCCGGGGAUAACAGGCUGAUCUUCCCCAAGAGUCCAUAUCGACGGGAUGGUUUGGCACCUCGAUGUCGGCUCGUCGCAUCCUGGGGCUGGAGCAGGUCCCAAGGGUUGGGCUGUUCGCCCAUUAAAGCGGCACGCGAGCUGGGUUUAGAACGUCGUGAGACAGUUCGGUCUCUAUCCGCCGCGCGCGUCAGAAACUUGAGGAAACCUGUCCCUAGUACGAGAGGACCGGGACGGACGAACCUCUGGUGCACCAGUUGUCCCGCCAGGGGCACCGCUGGAUAGCCACGUUCGGUCAGGAUAACCGCUGAAAGCAUCUAAGCGGGAAACCUUCUCCAAGAUCAGGUUUCUCACCCACUUGGUGGGAUAAGGCCCCCCGCAGAACACGGGUUCAAUAGGUCAGACCUGGAAGCUCAGUAAUGGGUGUAGGGAACUGGUGCUAACCGGCCGAAAACUUACAACA